UACGUAGGGGGCAAGCGUUGUCCGGAAUCAUUGGGCGUAAAGAGCUCGUAGGCGGCCACUCAAGUCGACUGUGAAACCUCGAGGCUUAACCUCGAGCCUGCAUUUGAUACUGGGCGGCUAGAGUCUGGUAGGGGGAUCUGGAAUUCCUGGUGUAGCGGUGGAAUGCGCAGAUAUCAGGAGGAACACCGGUGGCGAAGGCGGGAUCCUGGGCCAGUACUGACGCUGAGGAGCGAAAGCGUGGGGAGCAAACAGG
rnacentral:rRNA from 1 species